GACAGAGGGGGCAAGCGUUGCUCGGAAUUACUGGGCGUAAAGGGCGCGUAGGCGGGAUGGUAAGUCGGUCGUGAAAUCCCUCGGCUCAACCGAGGAACGUCGAUCGAUACUACCGUUCUUGAGGAUUGCAGAGGAGACUGGAAUUCCCGGUAUAGCGGUGAAAUGUGUAGAGAUCGGGAGGAACACCGGUGGCGAAGGCGGGUCUCUGGGCAAUUC
rnacentral:rRNA from 1 species